GUCUGCAGAGAAGACAAGGAGCUCUGUGUGCUGGCUCACCUGGGAGUGCUCACCUGUUGGGAGAGCUCUUCAUCUCCCACACAGAACCAGACCUGCCAAGUUGUGGGGAGAGAUGCUAUCUGCCAGAUCACUCUCUCCUGAAGAUGAUGCCAGGCAAGUGAAAUCGGCACCUUGCUCUGAGCUAGGCCACUCUGGCACUUUCCCUAGAGAUAACUAUGCCAGCUUACCUACGAGGACACAAGCCCAACUCCAGAGAUGCCCCUGCACGGUGCUCGCCACUGGGUCUGGGACCAGUGAGCACCUCCUUCCAGGAGACCCACAGGCCUUUCCUGACGUUUUAUCCCUCCUCCUUGGACUACUGCAAGGCCACUUGCUUGUGAAGGAAACUGAGGCACGGAAAGGUGGUUGCUUACACUGGACCAAGAUGUCAUUCGAAGUGGGCCUCAGUUUCUGCCACUCUUGUUGGACACGGCCUGAAAAUACCUCUUCCUCCUUCCCGUCACUUCUCUCCAUUCAGUUCCCUCAUGAGAUCGAAUGUGUUUAAAGAGAGAGGCCCUUAACCAGACAAUUAAAGUAGGAUUUCCCUUUAAGAUGGAGUUUGCAGAAAGGAACCGUGUUUAAAAGCAGGGACCACCUCUUUGGGAAUGCAAAGGAGAGAAAUAAUCAGCUUCAAUUUGCGAAGAACCAUUUGUCAUGAAUGCCCUACAACUAUGUCUGUUGUAGAUCUUUUCUCCAGUAUAACUAAGUUAUUGAACAUAUAUCAUGGAACGUUUCUAGACUCUGGGGCUCUGCAGACAGCCCCCCAGAGGCCAGCUUUUCCAUUUCUUACAAUAUAUACUCAGGCAAAGACAGAGUGUCAUUCUUAGCACUUUGCGAAUUGGUAUUUUUUUUUUAACAUAGUUUUGUGCUGUUUAAUGCUAGGUGCUUAAUACCUUGGAGCACUUAAAAUCCUAAUAGCACGUUGAAUUAUCACUGCUUUGCAGCCAGGGAGGCUAAAAGAAAGGUUUAAAAAAAAUGAUCAGGUGCCUGUUCUGUUCAGUUCAAGGUGGAAGCAGAAAGUCGAGUCCCGGGACGACAUUACAUCGACAGCGUGCUCCCCUCCUAGCGUGUCUGUGUAUAUGGAAAUUAUUAUUGAGAAAGCUCAGCCAAGUGUCUCCUUUCUCAGCAGCUCAAUUCUAAUGCCUCCAAAGCACAAAACCAGAGUGGCUGGAAUGGAGCAGCAACUUGGUUUGAAUAAAUCAUUUCAAUUCCUGGAGGGUUAUUUUCCUUAUAAAGCAGGGGUCAUGUCCCCCAAAGAUUGGUGCAAAGUCUCUUGAAUUCUUGGAAAAUGUUCAUGGGAAACGCAAACAAGGAUGUAUCUGUGAGCCAGCCCUGGUGACCUAGUGGUUAAGUUCGGCACUCUCUGCUUCAGUGGCCUGGGUUCAGUUCCCGGGCGCAGACCUACACCGCUCGUCUGUCAGUGGCCAUGUUGUGGUGGCGGCAGCUCGCACACAAAAAAGGAAGGUUGGCAGAGGCUGUUAGCUCAGGGCGAAUCUUCCUCAGCAAAAAAAGAGAAAAAAAAACACACCUGCAAUGCUUUCUUAAUACCUAUGUGGGGAUUAUUUGUUUAAUGAGCACUGACUGAAGAUUUCAUCUACACUGCAUUCUGGGCACAUAGGACAGGACUCAGGCAUGGACCAGAAGUGUUAUAGAGCAGAAGGGGGUACAUUUAACCCCAGCCCAUAAACUUGAAGAUACGUAUGCUCAGUAAAAAGAAAACAGAAAAGAUAUAGAACAGUGGAUAUGGUAUGCUGACAUUUGUAUAAAAAAAGAAGAGAAGAAAAUGGAUACACAUUUGCCUGUAUUGUAUGUAUAACAGAUACAUCUGGUAACAUCAGUUAGUAGGAGAGGGGGAAUGAGUGGUGGGAUUAAGGGAUAGGAGAGAGAACUUCCAUUCAUACCUUUUGGACCUUUUAAAUUUUAAACCAUGAAAAUGUAUUACCUAUUACAAAAAAAUAAAUAAAAUUUAAUCAAAAACACAAUGUGACCUAUUCCAAGGGGCAGGGGAGUGGCUCAGAGGCCUGGGAGUGGGAG
ensembl:lncRNA